rnacentral:lncRNA from 1 species
AGCUGACGUUACUUUCCUUCUGGGUGCCGGCACGCCAUCGCUAAAAGGAGUUCCACCUAGAUUAGAGGGAACCCCAGAGCUCCCCCUGAAGUUGGGAAGGUGAAACAGUGCAUUUUCUUGUGCUAACAGCAGAUGCUCUUGCACUGUGAUGACAUGUAGAUGCAUGUAAAUGGGAG